rnacentral:lncRNA from 1 species
UAGAGUUUAAGGGAGAGAGUUGGCUUAGUGGUGUUUUGAUUGAUCCCCAAGCUCACGUCUUAGUGGUGGUGGUGAUGGUGAUGGUGGUGAUUCCAUCUCCUUCUUGCUCUUGAAGAUUUGAUGAUAAAAGGUAAUGAAGCUUGAUCUAUGCUUUGGGUGAAUAGGUGGAGUGGAUGAAGAAAAUGAUAGAGAAAAGAGAGUGGAGAAAUGGUGUAGUAGUGGUGGUGUUAAUGGAGGUUUGGGAUUAGAGAUGGUGGUGGUGAUGGAGUAGAUUGGGGGAGGAAGAGGAAGAAGAUGAGUUUGGAUUUUGGGAGGAGGAGAUGGAGGUUUAGUGGUAGAGAUGGAGGAAAAGAGAAAAGGGUGAAUGAGUGGAUGAUGGGUGUUGUGUAUGUAACUUUGAUUAUAUAGAUAGAGAUAGAUGAGUGAAAAGUGGGAGAGAGAAGAGAAGAGUGUGAAAUGGUGAAAAGCUCACAAAAGUCAAGAGAAAAUAUAGGGAAAUGAUGACAUAGAUUAGAGUAGGCAAUGAUGAUGUUUAAAGCAUGAUGAUGUCUAUUAUCCAAGCAAUAAUAUGAUGGAAGUAAAGAUGUUACUCCACCUUCUUUGUCAUCCUUGCUCCUCCUUCAUGGUGACCGGAAAAGCCAUGGCACCACCAAAAGUGGUGGUGAGCUGCCGUUUGUGGUGAUUCGUCGGAAUUCAGGAUUUUAUGCUUCGCUCCACAUUGAACCGCAAUUCUUCUUAACUCCGAUUCUUCAUAUUAAUACCAAAAAUUAAUGUUUCUUUCACUCUUGCAUUUUACCUAGAUAAAUGAUUUAGUGAAAAUUAAACUGAACUCAAAAACAAGUUAAAGUCAAAAUUUAAGGGAAUACAAAUAUGUGUAAAUUAUGGUCUAACAAUGGGAACAUUUGAACCAUGCAGUUUUCUGCUAACUCCAACAAGCUAGUAUAGGGGAACCAGUUUCCAAUUUGUAUGAUUGAUCGAUAAACAUAUAGUUGAGAAUUAGAAAAGGAAAAUAUAUUUGCUUGUUUUACAAUGACUUUGAUAUCGUCAUAUUUUUCCCAUGUUACUUAUGCUAAGCACGCAGAGCUCUUAGCUCUGAUAUUGGGAGUAGAGCGUGCUUUGUCCUAUCAGUUGGUAGCUUUGGUUGUGGAAAUUGAUUGCUUGGAGUUGGUACAAGCUGUGACAGGUCAAUCACUUGAUUUAGAGUUGGGUUUUCUUAUUUCGGAACUCAAACAUCCUUUGCCACAGUUAGUUAUGUCAGACGUGAGGUCAAUAAGGUGUCACAAUCUCUUACCAGGGACGCCAAAGUAGCGUUGUAUUCUAAUGAUGUUUUAAUGUUAUUCCUCCGUUUGUGGAGGUGUUACUCUCUCAUGAUUGUAAUGAUUCUUAAUCAAUGAAGUUCUUCAUUCCCAAAAAAUAUAUAUAUGCCUAGUCAUAAUCAACUCAGCUUGGAUCUGCUCUAAUCGUUAUAUAAACAUGAAGCGACUUCACCGAUGAAAAGUUGACAAGACAACUACUAGUAGACACCAAAUUUCUCUUCAAGCCGCUAAGACUCGCCCUCACGUGAUGUGACAAGGCAGCCCAACACAAGCUCAUGAAGACCGGCCAAUCCAACAUUAAGGGAUAAGUGAAGUUCAACCACUUCCUAAGCUAUAAAUGACAUCCCACUACCCUAAACAGUUGCAUAAAACAGAAAACCACAUUUCAACAGAUUUAAAUAAAUAAGGACAUAAGCCUAGACCCAAAGUUCAUAGUACCAUGCCAUGUCAGCAAUUUUUUACGCAAAAUACCCAAAAAACUAAUUUUUCUGAAAUAUCUAUAAAACUACCACUAACUCAACCAAAAAUAUCUUCUCUCUCUUUCUUUGAUCUAUCAUAUUUCAAAUUCUCUCUCUCUCUCUCNNNNNNNNNNNNNNNNNNNNACGGCGUACGUACUCUUCUUAUUCAUCUUCAUUGGAUUGGUGGUGGAUUAUUAGAAAACGAUUGGGUGGCGAUCUGAUUCAACAACUUGGUUAUGGAACCCGAUCGCCGUCGAAGUCUUCGAUCCAAAAGGAAUAAGGAUUAAGAGGAUGCUACUGUUUGUUUUUUUUUUCUUUCCAGAUUUGCUCCAUGUCCCAUUUCCAAAUUAGAAUUGGGUCUGUUUGAUUUGAUUCAAUAAUGAUCAUGAUUUUGUUUGAGAAACUUGUAUUGAUUUUAGGCAAAUUGGUGUAUUUGUUUCAAAAGAUUUGAUUAUCUUUUUUUGGGUUUUUAAGCACAAUGGGAGUUAUGCACAUUAGGUGUUUGAUGAAAGUCCUCAAUAAGGUUGUUGUUAUACAAAACCCUUUUACAUGUUGAUCAUCUAAUUGCUAUUGAUUCAAUAAUCAUGAUGUGGGAAUAAAUCCAUUUUUGCACAUUAGAAUAACAAUUUAUAGACAAGAUAAUCUGAUGAAGUUUAUACUAAUAUGUGUUAAUUAAGCUAUUGUCUAUCGAUUUCGCUAAAUACCUGCUACUGUAUUUUCUGAAAGUUGAUGCUACAACACUAGCUGAGUCACUAAAAGCUUGCUACUACUCUACUGGUAAUACCUUGUUACUACAUUUUUGGAAAUAGUUUUUAGUCUUGCUACCAACUAAUUGAGCCACUAAAAACAUGUUGCUGCACUUUUUUGAAAAUAACUGCUACUACAUUAGCUGAGUCACUAAAAGCCUGCCGCUACUACAUUUACUGGAAAUAGCUUUGCUACUGCAUUUACUGGAAGUAGUUGCUACUAUAUUGGCUGAGCCACUGAAAACAUGCUACUACAUUUAUUGGAAAUAGCUGCUACUGCAUUUACUAGAAGUAAUUGCUACUACACCAGCUGAACCACUAAAAACCUGCUAUUACUGUACGUACUGAAAAUAACUGCUGCUACAUUUGCUGAGCCACUGAAAACAUGUUAGUGCACUUACUGAAGCUGCUACUGCACUUACUGGAGUUGCUACUACACUAGCUGAACCACCAAAACCCUGCUACUACAUCUGUUGGAAGUGUAGUUUUCCAGCAAAACAUGCUACUACAUUAGCUGAUUCACUAAAAACCUGCUAUUGCACUUACUAAAGCUGCUACUACACUAGCUGAACCACUAAAACCCUGCUACUACUUCUACUGGGAUGUUAACCUCUGCUACUACUUUGUACUAGAAUGUUAACCCACGAUACUACUUCUACUGGAAUUAACUGCUACUACUACUGAGAUGUUAACCCCUGCUACUGCACUGGAAUUAACUGCUACUAUACUAAGUUAUUGAAAACACACUAUUGUAUUCCAUUUACUGAAAAAUCUUAAAAUGAGAGACUUUUCUCUUCUAAAAGCAUAUUUAAUUAGUAUAGGGUUAGUUUAGUAAAUUAAACCAUGACACAUGGCAUGCAGAAAAAAGAUUGUCCUUAAUUAUUAAAAACUGUCUUUAUUUGUUUAAUAACAACACAAGUGGAUUUAAUUGUGUUUUAAAUCUUUUUAGAGAAUAUAUAUGUAAUUUGCUAUAUUUAUUUGUCUUCAAUAACUACGCAAUUAGUACUCAACUAUUGUCACUUUGUCUACGUGAAUAUAUUCGCUAUAUAAGCCAUCAUAGUAGUGAAGACCGUCAACCGUGGUCUCCUUUUCUGACACCCCCCCCCCCCCCUUCCUUUUUCAUUUGACAAUUUUCGAAUCCAUUCACCUCAUAGAUAAUCCAACCAAUUAUAAACUUAGUCCGCCAGACAAGAGAAUCAAACCCCUCUCUAAUUCAUAAUGUAUACAGAGAACCGACCAUACACACAUGAUCAGUUGAGAAGUCGUAAGUUCUAUUUCACAUAAAAAAUUCAUAUCUAUAUUAAGGUUGUAUUGGUCUUAUAUACAUACGGUGUAAGUACAUUGUGCAAUUUUAAUUAUAACUAUUUAUAUGUAAGAAGCACGAUGUAUUUAUAUUAAUGACAUUUAUUCUUAGCAAUCCAAAUAAUAUGUAUAGAUACAUGUUAUGAACCGAAGACUCUCGGGCAGAUCAGUUAAUCUGUCACGCACAGUAUCAAGGGAAGCAAUAUUCUAAAGUGGGCCGCGGGGUAUUCGGGCCCAGAAAUUUUACUAGAUUGCCCCGGCAAAGCGCCAAAUUUAAAUGGCAACGAGAUGUAAUAAUAGAGAACUCCGGGCCCUUUCACAGAAAUAGAAACAUUUUUAAGCAGGAUAAAGCCACCCUCACUUUUCGUCUCUUCGCUCUCACACUCGUACUGAGCAGAAAGCAAACCAAAGCUUCACUCUCAAAAAGUCCUCUCUCUCUCUCUCUCUCUCUNNCNCNUNNNNNNNNNNNNNUNNUNUNUNUCUNUCUNUCUCUACUAACUACUCUCUCUCUCUCUCUCUCUCUCUCUCUCUCUCUCUCUUCUUCUUUGCAUGUAGAUGCUCUCUGAAAACCCUAACUCGCCCCAAACCCCCUAUCUCAUCUCCGAUUCCUCCCCAUGGCCAACAACCC